GGUAGAUAUAGUUCAAAGGUAGAACGGUUAUCUGUGGCAUAAUAUAUCUUAGUUCGAUUCUAGGUAUCUACCCUA
rnacentral:tRNA from 1 species